CCUACGGGCGGCAGCAGUGGGGAAUAUUGGACAAUGGGCGAAAGCCUGAUCCAGCCAUGCCGCGUGUGUGAAGAAGGCCUUCGGGUUGUAAAGCACUUUCAGUGGGGAAGAAAGCCUUGGGGCUAAUACCCUCGAGGAAGGACAUCACCCACAGAAGAAGCACCGGCUAACUCCGUGCCAGCAGCCGCGGUAAUACGGGAGGGUGCGAGCGUUAAUCGGAAUUACUGGGCGUAAAGCGCGCGUAGGCGGUCUGAUAAGCCGGUUGUGAAAGCCCCGGGCUCAACCUGGGAACGGCAUCCGGAACUGUCAGGCUAGAGUGCAGGAGAGGAAGGUAGAAUUCCCGGUGUAGCGGUGAAAUGCGUAGAGAUCGGGAGGAAUACCAGUGGCGAAGGCGGCCUUCUGGACUGACACUGACGCUGAGGUGCGAAAGCGUGGGUAGCAAACAGGAUUAGAUACCCUGGUAGUC
rnacentral:rRNA from 1 species